rnacentral:rRNA from 1 species
UGGGGAAUUUUGCACAAUGGGGGAAACCCUGAUGCAGCGACGCCGCGUGAUUUAGAAGGCCUUCGGGUUGUAAAAAUCUUUUCUAUGGGAAGAAAAUGACAGUACCAUAGGAAUAAGGACCGGCUAAUUACGUGCCAGCAGCCGCGGUAAUACGUAAGGUCCGAGCGUUGUCCGGAAUCAUUGGGCGUAAAGGGUACGUAGGCGGGUAAGCAAGUUAGAAGUGAAAUCCUGUAGCUCAACUACAGUAAGCUUUUAAAACUGCUCAUCUUGAGGUAUGGAAGGGAAAGUGGAAUUCCUAGUGUAGCGGUGAAAUGCGCAGAUAUUAGGAGGAAUACCGGUGGCGAAGGCGACUUUCUGGCCAUAAUCUGACGCUGAGGUACGAAAGCGUGGGUAGCAAACAGG